rnacentral:rRNA from 1 species
UGGGGAAUAUUGGACAAUGGGGGCAACCCUGAUCCAGCAAUGCCGCGUGAGUGAUGAAGGCCUUCGGGUUGUAAAGCUCUUUUAUCAGGGACGAUGAUGACGGUACCUGAUGAAUAAGCUCCGGCUAACUUCGUGCCAGCAGCCGCGGUAAUACGAAGGGAGCUAGCGUUGUUCGGAAUUACUGGGCGUAAAGGGCGCGUAGGCGGUUUAACAAGUUUGGUGUGAAAGCCCUGGGCUUAACCUAGGAACUGCAUUGAAUACUGUUAGACUAGAGACCGAGAGAGGAAGAUGGAAUUGCGAGUGUAGAGGUGAAAUUCGUAGAUAUUCGCAAGAACACCAGUGGCGAAGGCGAUCUUCUGGCUCGGUACUGACGCUAAGGCGCGAAAGCGUGGGGAGCAAA